GCUUACGGCCAUACCAACCUGGCUAUGCCCGAUCUCGGAAGCUAAGCAGGUUUGGGCCUGGUUAGUACUUGGAUGGGAGACCGCCUGGGAAUACCAGGUGCUGUAAGCU
ensembl:rRNA 5S_rRNA 5S ribosomal RNA